UAUAUGUUUUAUAAUAUUUUUUCAAUAAAGUCCGGGUUCCAGGUUGGGUCCUAAAUUUAUCCAGUGAUACCCGGGACCGGUCCGGCUUCAUCUCUAAUUGCUCAGGUCCGGACCGAACGAGUAUUUUUAACACCCCUAGUAGGAAUCUGUAUUGGCCAAUCCCGAUCAUUAUGCCCCGAUUGUCAACUCUAUUGCCAAUUAUCCAUAAACAAAACAAUUUAGUAUAUAAUCUUCUAUCCUUAUUUACAAAUUAAAUGGUCAAUUAAUAAAUAAUUCAAUCAAUUUGAAAAAGAGGUAGGAUUUUACUUUAGCAUCAAUGGAUUUGUAAACUAAACCGUAUGUAUCUUCAGCAAGAACAUCACGUUUUAGGUACCCAUCUACGAUUUUCUUUAACAAAUUUACUUUUGCCAUUGUCAAUUCAUAUAUAUUUUUGAAAUUUUAUGUUUUUAUUUUAAGUGAUAUGAACAUUGGGUUUAACAUUAAGGUUAUGGUUCUUCGAUUUCUGCAAUGAAUGAUGUCAAGUUAGCUCGGUUUCAAUUUAUUUAACACACAAAAAGACAAAAAUUGUAGUAAUUGGAUCCUACUUUAUAGGGUGCAAUACUGCAAUCUGUGUCUGUAGUUGCACUUAAUUAAUUCACAUUUUACCUAUCAUAAAUUAGGGUCCGCCUGUGUUGCAACAGUUGCAACAUACAAUAAUUUUUGUCUUUUUAUAUAUGAUUAUAUUACAUCACCUUAUAUUUUUUUGUAAAAUUUAAUAUGAACUAAAAGUCACAAACUUUUACAUAUAAGUCUAUUUUUAGAAUAAAAUGACAUUUGAAAAGAAUUUUAAUUUAUUAUUGUUAUUAUUAAUAUCAUUAUUAUUAUAUAAGAUUAUUGCUAUUAAAUUUUAUUAUUUUAAUUAUUAUUAUUUAUGAUUAUUAUUGUCGUCCUUAUUAUUAAAAUUUAUUACUUUUAUUAUUUUAAUUGUUAUUAUACCGUAAUUAAUUCAUUAUUAUUAAUAUUUAUCUUGUUAUGAUUAAAAUUAAUGUUAUUAGUAAAAUAAAUUAACUUUUUUAUUUUAAUUAUUUUAAUUAUUUUAAUUAUUGUUGUUAUUAUUUUUAUUAAUAAUAAUAUUAUUAAAACUUAUUAAUAAUUUUUAUUAUUUUAAUUAUUAUCAUUAUUAAUAUUAUUAUUUCAGUUAAUUUUGUUGUUGUUGUUAUUAUUAUUAUUGUUAAAUUUUAUUAAUUUUUUGUUUUAAUUAACAUUAUUGUCAUAAUCAUUAUUUUUAGUUUUAUUAUUAUUAUUGUUUUAAUUAUAAUAUAUACAAAUAAUAUUAGGGACACAAUUAACAAAGGGCAUUUUAAUAACUUAUAAUAGUUUAUUCCAAUUAUAAAAUAAAGUAAACACAUCAAUGAGAAUGUCGUUCAUUCAUAUUCUGAUUCUUUAUUACGAUUCUAACUCAUUUCGAUUCUUAUUUAAUAAACGCACCAUUAGAAUGUGUUCAAAACAUAGUAUUAUAUAUUGUUAUAAUAUUGUUCACAUUAAUUUAUUACUUACCUAUGUUUGGAAGUUUUAAAAGUUAGAUUGUGGUCAAUUAUAUAAUUCACUACAAUGUGCUAAAUUUUAUCUUAAUAGAAACAUUAAAUAUAUUUAAAUUAUAUUUUUAUUUUUACUAUAAUAAUUAUAAUAUUAAAAAUAAAUUAUAUUAUAAUAUUAUUUUAUUAUAUCAUAUUAUAUUUAUAUAUUAAUAAUUAAUAUAAAAAUAAUAAUUAAAUAUAAUUUUUAAUAAAUUUACAUAAUGAGAGUAGAUUUAGAAAUGAUAUUAAUAAUUAAAAAAUAUGAAAUAUUUAUGAAUUUAUGGAAUAAAUAAACAUAUUUAUCUUUAUAAAGUUAGGACGCAAACAUAAACUUUAUUUUAUAUUUAACGAGUUGUGGCUCUUAUAAACUAGUAUUGAAUCAUGCAUUGUAAUUGCAUAAUAUCAAUAAUAAAAGUCCUCUUAAAUUUCUUAGUUCUUAUUCAUAUCAUUUAACAACUAAGUCAAUAAAUAAAAUAAUAAUAAUUAUAUUUUUUUCCUGACAUUUCAGAAAACAAGGGGGAUUGCAAUGAAAAUAACCUAAAUAAAUAUACUCUGCCGUUGGAUUUGCUUUUACCAUUCUUGUCUUGAAUCCAAUGGUUAAAUUACAAAAUGACAAAAGAAGUGGUAUGUUGCAACUGUUGCAACAUAGGCGGACCCCAUAAAUUAAGCAAUAGCUGUUUAACUCAGAUGAUAAAUAAAAGCCUUUUAAGUUUAACCCACAAAACUUUACUCAGAUAAAAAGCCUUUUACAGAAUAAUAAAUAAAUUACAGAUUAAAUUCAUUCAAAAUUUUCUGAUAGAAAAGUUGUUCCCUCUGAAAGGCUUUUAUUUAUUUCUGUGGACUCUGAACGAUAGCUCAAUUGGUGUAAACUGUUUUCCUGUACUUCUCUUUUUUCCCCUUUCAUGCAUGGCAUUCUUUUUGCUCACUUUCCAAAGACACCUGAAAAUUUCUAAUUUACAUCAUUAAAAUGCUAAUGCUUAAUUGUCAUUUUGACCAAAAGUUGCAGCAGAAUUUGCAGGGCAGCAGGGGUAAGGAGAGCUUACUUGCAGUGGAUUUUAAUUUCUGCAAUAAUCAUAAAUUAACUGUUCAAAAUCGUGGCCAUGAAUGCGAGAUUUUAGAAACUAACAAAGAAAUCUAGAAACUAAAUUACAUGACAUAUAAUUUAUAAAAAAGAAUUAUGACAUAAGGUCCGUCGUCCAUGCAUUUUUUAAGUGUGGACAAAACUAAAAGAUAAAAAUAAAACAAAAUUUAAAGUAUUAAUUUUUCUUUAUUUAACAUGUGUUA
rnacentral:lncRNA from 1 species